UUUUACCAACUAAAUAGACAGUUUCUAUGGGGGCGUAGUCCUUCCAAAGGGUAACGGAGGAGUGCAAAGGUUUCCUCGGGCCGGACGGAGAUUAGCCCUCGAUUGCAAAGGCAGAAGGAAGCUUCACUGCCAUACCCACCGUCGAGCAGGGACAAAAGUCGGCCUUAGUGAUCUGACCAGAUGAUGGUCUAACGAAAGAAAA
rnacentral:ncRNA from 1 species